rnacentral:rRNA from 1 species
CACCUCUAGCAUUACAAGUAUUAGAGGCAUUGCCUGCCCAGUGACUAUAGUUAAACGGCCGCGGUAUCCUGACCGUGCAAAGGUAGCAUAAUCAUUUGUUCCUUAAUUAGGGACUAGUAUGAAUGGCUAGACGAGGGAUCAACUGUCUCUUAUUUUCAAUCAGUGAAAUUGACCUUCCAGUGAAGAGGCUGGAAUACAAUAAUAAGACGAGAAGACCCUAUGGAGCUUAAAUUAACAAGCUUAAUUAUUACCUAAAUACCCUAAUGGAACAAAACAAAAAAUAUAAGCUUAAAAUUUUGGUUGGGGUGACCUCGGAGAACAAAAAAUCCUCCGAAAGAUAUAUAACAUAGACCUACAAGUCAAAGUAACUCAGUUAUCUUAUUGACCCAAAAAUUGAUCAACGGACCAAGUUACCCUAGGGAUAACAGCGCAAUCCUAUUUAAGAGUCCAUAUCGACAAUAGGGUUUACGACCUCGAUGUUGGAUCAGGACAUCCCAAUGGUGCAGAAGCUAUUAAUGGUUCGUUUGUUCAACGAUUAAAGU